AAAUGCUUGCAAUGACGAUUUAGAAAAAAAGGAGGCGCUUGUUUCAAGAUAAGUUUUUACUUUUUUUUUCACUACAAUCCAUGUGAUUAACUUUGAAUACUAUUUUUUGUGGUCUCUUCCAGCUUUUUCCAGAAUAUGGACUCACUGGCUGUGUCCACUGGAAGCAUUUCUUUAAAACCAUGCUCCUGGCAUUCAUGGUAUGUGGCAAACAAAAGCUGCAACAAAAGAAAAAUCCCAACAAGAAUCC
rnacentral:lncRNA from 1 species